rnacentral:rRNA from 1 species
GAUGAACGCUGGCGGCGUGCCUAAUACAUGCAAGUCGAGCGAACAGACGAGGAGCUUGCUCCUCUGACGUUAGCGGCGGACGGGUGAGUAACACGUGGAUAACCUACCUAUAAGACUGGGAUAACUUCGGGAAACCGGAGCUAAUACCGGAUAAUAUAUUGAACCGCAUGGUUCAAUAGUGAAAGACGGUUUUGCUGUCACUUAUAGAUGGAUCCGCGCCGCAUUAGCUAGUUGGUAAGGUAACGGCUUACCAAGGCAACGAUGCGUAGCCGACUUGAGAGGGUGAUCGGCCACACUGGAACUGGGACACGGUCCAGACUCCUACGGGAGGCAGCAGUAGGGAAUCUUCCGCAAUGGGCGAAAGCCUGACGGAGCAACGCCGCGUGAGUGAUGAAGGUCUUCGGAUCGUAAAACUCUGUUAUUAGGGAAGAACAAAUGUGUAAGUAACUAUGCACGUCUUGACGGUACCUAAUCAGAAAGCCACGGCUAACUACGUG